rnacentral:rRNA from 1 species
AACAAGGAUUCCCCUAGUAACUGCGAGUGAAGCGGGAAAAGCUCAAAUUUAAAAUCUGGCGGUCUCUGGCCGUCCGAGUUGUAAUCUAGAGAAGUAAUGCCCGUGCUGGACCGUGUAUAAGUCUCCUGGGAUGGAGCGUCAUAGAGGGUGAGAAUCCCGUCUUUGACACGGACUACCAGUGCAUUGUGGUAUGCUCUCAAAGAGUCGAGUUGUUUGGGAAUGCAGCUCAAAAUGGGUGGUAAAUUCCAUCUAAAGCUAAAUAUUGGCGAGAGACCGAUAGCGAACAAGUACCGUGAGGGAAAGAUGAAAAGAACUUUGGAAAGAGAGUUAAACAGUACGUGAAAUUGCUGAAAGGGAAACGCUUGAAGUCAGUCGCGUUGGCCGGGGAUCAGCCUUGCUUUUGCAUGGUGUACUUUCUGGUUGACGGGUCAGCAUCAAUUUUGACCGCUGGAAAAAGACCUGGGGAAUGUGGCAGCUUCGGCUGUGUUAUAGCCCCUAGUCGCAUACAGUGGUUGGGAUUGAGGAACUCAGCACGCCGCAAGGCCGGGUUUCG